UCUCUCUCUAGUUUUCUGAAACUCCCCACAAAUCUCCUCUUCUCAUCGUACUGCAAAAAACCAGAAGACUAUCCUCUUCUUCUCUUGCUUUUCUACCGAUCAGAAUCAAAAAAAAAAAAAAAAAAAAGACCCAGAAAAACUAUCCUCUCCUCCUCAAAUAGCACUGAACCGAAAAACAAAGCAUGGAAAGCUGAUCCAUCUUUCUCUGUUUCUGUCCCGGUUAUGUGAAGAGGAAGAACACCCCCUGUUUUCACACAACCUCGAAAAGAGAACCCAGUAGCAAAAUCUCUGUUUCCCCCUCUCUUAGUACAGAAAAUCGGCAUGCUUCCUCUGUUCUUCUUUCAUUCCAACAAGCCAACAAAAGAAGUUUUUGUAGGAUGGAAGGAAGGAUGCAAUUAAUCAUAUUUAUGUUUUAGGCUAAGACUUUUUGUGAUAUUUAUAUGUUGGUUAAAACAAUGAUUAUUUAUUAUUAAGUGCCGCAUGUGGCACAUAUGUUAUUGCUUUAUGUGUAAGUCGUGUGAGACCGUCAUAUUAUUUUAAUUAUAUU